rnacentral:rRNA from 1 species
AACGAACGCUGGCGGCAUGCCUAACACAUGCAAGUCGAACGAGACCUUCGGGUCUAGUGGCGCACGGGUGCGUAACGCGUGGGAACCUGCCCUUAGGUUCGGAAUAACUCCCCGAAAGGGGUGCUAAUACCGGAUAAUGUCUUCGGACCAAAGAUUUAUCGCCUUUGGAUGGGCCCGCGUUGGAUUAGCUAGUUGGUAGGGUAAAAGCCUACCAAGGCGACGAUCCAUAGCUGGUCUGAGAGGGUGAUCAGCCACACUGGGACUGAGACACGGCCCAGACUCCGACGGGAGGCAGCAGUGGGGAAUAUUGGACAAGGGGCGAAAGCCUGAUCCAGCAAUGCCGCGUGAGUGAUGAAGGCCUUAGGGUUGUAAAGCUCUUUUACCCGGGAUGAUAAUGACAGUACCGGGAGAAUAAGCUCCGGCUAACUCCGUG